rnacentral:rRNA from 1 species
GAUGAACGCUGGCGGCGUGCCUAAUACAUGCAAGUCGAGCGAACAGACGAGGAGCUUGCUCCUCUGACGUUAGCGGCGGACGGGUGAGUAACACGUGGAUAACCUACCUAUAAGACUGGGAUAACUUCGGGAAACCGGAGCUAAUACCGGAUAAUAUAUUGAACCGCAUGGUUCAAUAGUGAAAGACGGUUUUGCUGUCACUUAUAGAUGGAUCCGCGCCGCAUUAGCUAGUUGGUAAGGUAACGGCUUACCAAGGCAACGAUGCGUAGCCGACCUGAGAGGGUGAUCGGCCACACUGGAACUGAGACACGGUCCAGACUCCGACGGGAGGCAGCAGUAGGGAAUCUUCCGCAAUGGGCGAAAGCCUGACGGAGCAACGCCGCGUGAGUGAUGAAGGUCUUCGGAUCGUAAAACUCUGUUAUUAGGGAAGAACAAAUGUGUAAGUAACUAUGCACGUCUUGACGGUACCUAAUCAGAAAGCCAGGGCUAACUACGUG